UUAGCUUGCUAAGACUGAUGGCGACCGGCGCACGGGUGCGUAACGCGUAUGCAACUUGCCUCACAGAGGGGGAUAACCCGUCGAAAGACGGACUAAUACCGCGUACACUCUAUGUUGGGCAUCCAAUGUAGAGGAAAUGAAAUUCGCUGUGAGAUAGGCAUGCGUCCCAUUAGCUAGUUGGUGAGGUAACGGCUCACCAAGGCGACGAUGGGUAGGGGAACUGAGAGGUUGAACCCCCAUACUGGUACUGAGACACGGACCAGACUCCUACGGGAGGCAGCAGUGAGGAAUAUUGGUCAAUGGGCGAGAGCCUGAACCAGCCAAGUCGCGUGAAGGAUGACUGCCUUAUGGAUUGUAAACUUCUUUUAUACGGGAAUAACAAGAGUCACGUGUGACUCCCUGCAUGUACCGUAUGAAUAAGCAUCGGCUAACUCCGUGCCAGCAGCCGCGGUAAUACGGAGGAUGCG
rnacentral:rRNA from 1 species